CAGUAGCCGCGGGAAUACGUAGGUCCCGAGCGUUGUCCGGAUUUGUUGGGCGUAAAGGGAGCGCAGGCGGUCUAGUAAGUCUGAAGUUAAAGGCAUUGGCUCAACCAAUGUAUGCUUUGGAAACUGUUAGACUUGAGUGCAGAAGGGGAGAGUGGAAUUCCAUGUGUAGCAGUGAAAUGCGUAGAUAUAUGGAGGAACACCGGUGGCGAAAGCGGCUCUCUGGUCUGUCACUGACGCUGAGGCUCGAAAGCGUGGGUAGCGAACAGGAUUAGAUACCCCCGUAGUCCCUGUCUCUUAUACC
rnacentral:rRNA from 1 species